GASCGSCGGAUGGGUGAGUAACAUCGUGGGGAACCUGCCCCAUAGUCUGGGAUAGCCACUUGGAAACAGGUGCUAAUACCGGAUAAGAAAGCAGAUCGCAUGAUCAGCUUAUAAAAGGCGGCGUAAGUCUGUCGCUAUGGGAUGGCCCCGCGGUGCAUUAGCUAGUUGGUAAGGUAACGGCUUACCCAAGGCGAUGAUGCAUAGCCCGAGUUGAGAGACUGAUCGGCCACAUUGGGACUGAGACACGGCCCAAACUCCUACGGGAGGCAGCAGUAGGGAAUCUUCCACAAUGGACGCAAGUCUGAUGGAGCAACRCCGCGUGAGUGAAGAAGGUUUUCGGAUCGUAAAGCUCUGUUGUUGGUKAAGAAGGAUAGAGGUAGUAACUGGCCUUUAUUUGACGGUAAUCAACCAGAAAGUCACGGCUAACUACGUGCCAGCAGCCGCGGUAAUACGUAGGUGGCAAGCGUUGUCCGGAUCUAUUGGGCGUAAAGCGAGCGCAGGCGGAAAAAUAAGUCUGAUGUGAAAGCCCUCGGCUUAACCCGAGGAACUGCAUCGGAAACUGUUUUUCUUGAGUGCAGAAGAGGAGAGUGGAACUCCAUGUGUAGCGGUGGAAUGCGUAGAUAUAUGGAAGAACACCAGUGGCGAAGGCGGCUCUCUGGUCUGCAACUGACGCUGAGGCUCGAAAGCCAUGGGUACGAACAGGAUUGGAUACCCUGGUAGUCCAUGCCGUAAACGAUGAGUGCUAAGUGUUGGGAGGUUUCCGCCUCUCAGUGCUGCAGCUAACGCAUUAAGCACUCCGCCUGGGGAGUACGACCGCAAGGUUGAAACUCAAAGGAAUUGACGGGGGCCCGCACAAGCGGUGGAGCAUGUGGUUUAAUUGCAAGCAACGCGAAGAACCUUACCAGGUCUUGUACAUCUAGUGCCAUCCUAAGAGAUUAGGAGUUCCCUUCGGGGACGCUAAGACAGGUGGUGCAUGGCUGUCGUCAGCUCGUGUCGUGAGAUGUUGGGUUAAGUCCCGCAACGAGCGCAACCCUUGUGAUUAGUUGCCAGCAUUAAGUUGGGCACUCUAAUGAGACUGCCGGUGACAAACCGGAGGAAGGUGGGGAUGACGUCAAGUCAUCAUGCCCCUUAUGACCUUUGCUAUACACGUGCUACAUGGGCAGUACAACGAGAAGCGAGCCUUCGAAGGCAAGCGAAUCUCUAAAGCUGUUCUCAGUUCGGACUGCAGUCUGCAACUCGACUGCACGAAGCUGGAAUCGCUAGUAAUCGCGGAUCAGCACGCCGCGGUGAAUACGUUCCCGGGCCUUGUACACACCGCCCGUCACACCAUGGAAGUCUGCAAUGCCCAAAGCCGGUGGCCUAACCUUCGGGAAGGAGCCGUCUAAGGCAGGGCAGAUGACUGGGGUG
rnacentral:rRNA from 1 species